UUCCCAUUUCCUGACAGAACAUCAGACAAAUCAAUUUCAUCCGAUUGAACACCAAUGCUGCUGUUGUAUACAUUUUUACAUGAGGAGCCACUUAUUUCCAAAUCAAAGAGAACUGGAUCAAAAGGUGAACUGUAUAAUCCAUAUCUUGUUUGUAGUAAUGCUUCCAUAGGUGUCAGGCGAUCCUGCAGCUGUCGGGACACAGCAGUUAACAACGAUGCACAAGCUGUACUACAUCCUGCCAAAUCUUCAUCCUUUACAUAAUUCAGCAAUACAAAAUACCAAUACACU
rnacentral:lncRNA from 1 species